rnacentral:tRNA from 1 species
AAAGAUUUAGGUUUAAUAUAGACCAAAGGCCUUCAAAGCCUUAAGCAGGAGUUUAAAUCUCCUAAUCUUUG